AGUGAACGCUGGCGGCAGGCCUAACACAUGCAAGUCGAGCGGCAGCGCGUCCGACCACCCUCGGGUGGUCGGAUGGCGGCGAGCGGCGGACGGGUGAGGAAUGCAUCGGAAUCUGCCUCGUUGUGGGGGAUAACGUAGGGAAACUUACGCUAAUACCGCAUACGACCUACGGGUGAAAGUGGGGGACCUUCGGGCCUCACGCGAUGAGAUGAGCCGAUGCCGGAUUAGCUAGUUGGCGGGGUAAAGGGCCCACCAAGGCGACGAUCCGUAGCUAGUCUGAGAGGAUGAUCAGCCACACUGGAACUGAGACACGGUCCAGACUCCUACGGGAGGCAGCAGUGGGGAAGUAUUGGACAAUGGGGGCGAACCCUGAUCCAGCCAUGCCGCGUGUGUGAAGAAGGCC
rnacentral:rRNA from 1 species